GUGCCGCUCCAGGCCCCCAGGGCUUCCCAGCGCAUUCUAGCUGGAGCCACAGUGACUCCUGGGACGCACCUGCCAGCUGCAGAUUCCAGCUGUGCUAUUUGCCUUCCAGGGACAUUCCGACUCAACCCACCCUAGGUGACCACCACCACGGCCCUCUUCAUAAAACAUGAACUUUGAAAUGGUUUCUCCAACUCUCCUACUGAAGUAAGUACGAUACUUUUAUAUUUUUCUUAUUUUUUACAAAUUUUGCUAUUUGUCUUUCUUGCAAUUUGUCUUUGCUUCUUGUCUUUCUCUACUUGAUCUUAAAAUGUUGUAUUUUCCUCAGAUUUUUCUCUUUUAGAAGGAAAUCUUAGUGUCUCCUGGGGAUUUUAUUCCCACCCAAGGUUUCUGCUACCACGGACACAUAGGUACACUGCAGACAUUUGCCUUCAGAUAAGACUUUUGUCUUANNNNNNNNNNAAUAUGAUGUAGUAACAGUUUGCUUUUAUUUUGAUUUUUUUCCUCAUAUUUCUGUCUAUAAUGUUAUUCUUACUUCUGGAAAUCUCCUCUUCUAUUUCAUUCUCCAAUCCC
rnacentral:lncRNA from 1 species